GCUAUCGCCAAGCGGUAAGGCACAGGACUUUGACUCCUGCACUCGUGGGUUCGAAUCCCGCUAGCC
rnacentral:tRNA from 1 species